rnacentral:rRNA from 1 species
UUCUUCGGAGAGUUUGAUCCUGGCUCAGGACGAACGCUGGCGGCGUGCCUAAUACAUGCAAGUCGAGCGGAUCGACGGGAGCUUGCUCCCUGAGAUUAGCGGCGGACGGGUGAGUAACACGUGGGCAACCUGCCUAUAAGACUGGGAUAACUUCGGGAAACCGGAGCUAA